ensembl:snoRNA SNORA70 Small nucleolar RNA SNORA70
CUGGACUGUGACCAGUGUGUUUAAAAUUUGAUCUAUGCCCUGGUGUGCAAUGGUUGCAAACAGCAGCCUCCUUGGUAGUGUACGCAGCCUGUUACCUGUGUGGGUUGCCCUAAGGGACGUAGGAGACAAUU